AUUGAACGCUGGCGGCAUGCCUUACACAUGCAAGUCGAACGGCAGCAUGGAGAGCUUGCUCUCUGAUGGCGAGUGGCGAACGGGUGAGUAAAGCAUCGGAACGUACCGUGUAGUGGGGGAUAACGUAGCGAAAGUUACGCUAAUACCGCAUACGCACUGAGGUGGAAAGCAGGGGAUCGCAAGACCUUGCGCUAUACGAGCGGCCGAUGUCAGAUUAGCUAGUUGGUAGGGUAAAGGCCUACCAAGGCGACGAUCUGUAGCGGGUCUGAGAGGAUGAUCCGCCACACUGGGACGGGGACACGGCCCAGACUCCUACGGGAGGCAGAAGUGGGGAAUUUUGGACAAUGGGGGCAACCCUGAUUCAGCCAUGCCGCGUGAGUGAAGAAGGCCUUCGGGUUGUAAAGCUCUUUCGGCCGGGAAGAAAUCGCACAGGCUAAUACUCUGUGUGGAUGACGGUACCGGCAUAAGAAGCACCGGCUAACUACGUGCCAGCAGCCGCCGUAA
rnacentral:rRNA from 1 species